rfam:Pteropus alecto contig22343, whole genome shotgun sequence.
GUCUACGGGCUUGCCACCUUGAACGAGCUCGAUGUCUGAUCUCAGAAGCUAAGCAGGGUCGGGCCUGGUUAGUACUUGGAUGGGAGACCACCUAGGAAGACCAGGUGCUGUAGGCA